GGGAAAGCGAUGAGAGGAACUAGUAGCAGGCGUCCGUCCUUUCAGAGAGCCGGUGGGUGGUGUGAACCGGUAGGAGGAGCCUGUGAAUCCAUCCUCGAGCAAAGCGCUGAACGCUCAAGCGGCCAGUAGGCGUUUUCGGCAGCCGCCGUUACCGGCAUAAAAGUGGAAGGCAUGGUGGCCUUCAAUAAGGGUGGCACCGCGGGAACGCUCCCGUCCCUUUU
rnacentral:ncRNA from 1 species